rnacentral:rRNA from 1 species
UACGUAGGGACCAAGCGUUGUUCGGAUUUACUGGGCGUAAAGGGCGCGUAGGCGGCUUAACAAGUCACUUGUGAAAUCUCCGGGCUUAACUCGGAACGGCCAAGUGAAACUGUCAAGCUAGAGUGCAGAAGGGGCAAUCGGAAUUCUUGGUGUAGCGGUGAAAUGCGUAGAUACCAAGAGGAACACCUGAGGUGAAGACGGGUUGCUGGGCUGACACUGACGCUGAGGCGCGAAAGCCAGGGGAGCAAACGGG